rnacentral:tRNA from 1 species
GGGGUUGUGGCUCAGUGGUAGAGUGCUUGCCUGGCAUGCAUAAGGCACUGGGUUUGAUCCCUAGCACCA